rnacentral:rRNA from 1 species
CUACGUGCCAGCAGCCGCGGUAACACGUAAGGGGCGAGCGUUGUUCGGAAUUAUUGGGCGUAAAGGGCAUGUAGGCGGUUGUAUAAGCCUGAUGUGAAAUCCUGAGGCUUAACCUCAGAAUAGCAUUGGGUACUGUAUAGCUUGAAUUACGGAAGGGAAACUGGAAUUCCAAGUGUAGGGGUGGAAUCUGUAGAUAUUUGGAAGAACACCGGUGGCGAAGGCGGGUUUCUGGCCGAUAAUUGACGCUGAGAUGCGAAAGUGUGGGGAUCGAACAGGAUUAGAUACCCUGGUAGUCCACACCGUAAACGAUGUACACUAGGUGUUGGGGUACGAACCUCAGUGCCGAAGCAAACGUGAUAAGUGUACCGCCUGGGGAGUAUGCCCGCAAGGGUGAAACUCAAAGGAAUUGACGGGGGCCCGCACAAGCGGUGGAGUAUGUGGUUUAAUUCGAAGCAACGCGAAGAACCUUACCAAGUCUUGACAUCCUUUGACCACUCUAGAGAUAGAGCUUUCC